CUAUUUAUGAUAUUUUGUGAUUUGUAUCUAAAAAUGAAGAUUCAACAAGUAUUAACAUCGAUGAAGUGGUCGUUAUAUAAGUAAAUUAGUAAACUGUGAUAUGCGUGCCAACCAUAACGCGUAAAAAUCAAAAGAUGAUAGAACUUAGAAGAUAUUGGUUUUUUAAGCUAUUGACAUUAAAAUAUUUAUAAAAACAAACUGAAGUAAACUUUUCAAUACCGCACUAUGCGAUCUAUCUUCAGGAACAUUAAAGAGAAAAAUAGCUGCGGUUAACCAUUUUUAACAGUACUAACGAUUUUUUACCGGUGAAAUAUGACGCCACAGAGGUAGGAGAGCGUUGAAGAAGAAUCGAGGAUACGUGGAAGCUAAAAGGCAGCUGUUUCUCUCAAUUACAAUAUAUAUAUACAUUGCGAAAGGGAAUUUUACCGAAGACGAUAGUAAUUUAAAGCCAUAUGUUACCAUAUCAUUGUACGCGCGAGAAAAAGCUUCCCUCAGGGAUAUUUUCCGAGGAAAUCCGGCUGUAAAAAUCGAUAUGGAGUGGCGAUGAUAAGAAAAUCACGACGGUGACCCGCAAAACCUUAAUGGUCCGUAAGACAUCCUCUGAAAAAUUUCUGACUUUACUCCUGGUGAUAAACGAGCAAGGAUUAUAAAUGGAGGGAUAACGAGGGCAGAAUAUGAUGACCUAGCCAGAUGGAAAUUAAAAGGAAAGCUGUAAAAACCACUGUAAUACGUUCCGAGUUUUAUUUUACGAUUAUUUCUCUGUUUGUGUUAUUGCCGAAGAUUUACUUGUCUUGUGAGAAAGUUUUAAAAUUGAGAUUCGUUUAACUCGUAUUGACAGUGAUUUUGACUUUUCUCGCGCUGAUCCCCAAGCGCGCGAAGAAGGGCUGGAAGAAGGAUGGUCCUAAUAAAAGUGUGGAUACUCUUCUGGAAUUACAUUAGUAAUCUCAUGAAUAAGCCUGUAAUGCAACCAUUCUUCCGGAGCAUUAAGUAAAAUCGCUAUGCGUAGCCACUUUAUGUAAUUAAAUUAAAUGCGUGGCUAGGAAACAAUCAAAAAGAAUAUUCAGAAAGCUCACAUAUAUCCUAAGAUACCUGAAAUAAUCAAAACUUAGUCUUUUUCUUUCAAUGGAUUGGUAGCGAUUUGGUUUAACGAGUUUAUAAAAUUGAGAAAUUUUUGAGAGUCCAUAUUACUAACUUCACAACUACGAUAGAACUUCACAAAUCCCGAAAGCUCCAAGCACACAAACCAACAUCGUCUUUCAAAUAGAAAUUCCUUCAACGAACACUUCAAAACUUUUUACUAAACUCCUUCGACACUUGGUAGAAAGUUUUCUCGACAAAAGAAAAGGUUUAAACUUAUUAGAUCUAUCGGUAGUUCGUUCGAAACGCAAUAAUUGGACUGCGAAUACUUCUAAAAACUUAUAUUUUUAUAAACAUAACUAGAGAAGUGGAAGGGCCUACGUAUUUAUUUCGGUCCCUAAAUAUCAUAAGGAAUACUGUUUUGCGAUAUUUUAUAUAUUGUUACAGGUUAUGUAUAUCUACGCAUUUUUACAUUCUUACCCCUCAGUGGGUAUCUCGGUGACGCAUAAUAAUUUGGUGUAGGUUAUUUAAUCUUAAAGUAUUUAUUCUAAUUUGUAUCUUCUGAUUUACGUGAUAAAUAUCGUUAACAUAUCUUAUUGCGUAAGAUAUAGGAUAUAAAUUAAAAUGAAAUAACCUAACCUAAAUAAUUGUUAUCAUUUAUGACUCAACAAUACCAAUUAAAAAUUAAAUAUUUUAUAAAUAUUUAAAUAUCCGCAGUCCAGUGUUAACAAAGAAAGUCGACCAUAUAUUGCUGAAAGUAUUUAAUCUUAAAGUAUUUAUUCUAAUUUGUAUCUUCUGAUUUACGUGAUAAAUAUCGUUAACAUAUCUUAUUGCGUAAGAUAUAAGAUAUAAAUUAAAAUUAAAUAACCUAACCUAAAUAAUUGUUAUCAUCUAUGACUCAACAAUACCAAUUAAAAAUUAAAUAUUUUAUCAAUAUUUAAAUAUCCGCAGUCCAGUGUUAACAAAGAAAGUCGACCAUAUAUUGCUGAAAGAUUCGAUUUAAACGAGUCAUAAAAUCUACCUGGUGUUUCAUCCACGUUCGAGUUGGCCCAAACGAAGAAAGGCAACGUGUAUCACUGGUCAUAAAAGGAAUAUCGCCUGUGAACCACUUCUGAGGAAGUUUUACACAUCGGUAACACUUUUUUCCUUUCGUGGAUCACGAGGGCGCUGUUACUCGGUUCAAAGACGAGGCCCCCUGUUCGCUGAAUUUAUGGCUCGGGAAAGCAGUCUGUGAAAAAGCUGCUGGAGGAUCGUCUUCCAAGGAAAAAAAAUAUCGAAGAAAGAAAGAAGAGUGGCAUUAGGUGUCGUGGUGAAAAAGAACAAAGCUUUCGAGGAAGAUGGAAGGCAACCCAGAUGGAGAUGGCUUCGCAAGAAAAUUAUUGGGCGUGUUUCAACAUAGAAUAAAGGUUGAAUUGACUUGCGUAAUAUGAUGGAAAGAAAUGAUUCUAUACAGAAUUAGUAUAAAAUGUUGUUUAGUACUUAGAAUAUUGAAAGGUUAUGUUUUACGUUAUGUUUCGUUGCACUUUAUUAAGUAGAUACAAUCUGGAACAGUUUCAGUUUUUUAAUUGACUGAAGAAAUAUUUAAAUUUAAUUUCAAUCAUUCGUUCAAAUAAAACUUAUCAUAUAAACAUAUUCUAUUACUGGUAGAAAAAGAUUCAUCAAUUUCUAACUAAAAAGUGAAAACUAGAUGAUGUGAAACUACUUAGGAAAAUGGCAAGGAGGUUAUAUUAUAACUUCAAUUUAAAAGACAAUAAUUCUUUCGGAUAAAUUCCAAGGAAGAAGUAUUUAAAGUUUAAGAACUAAAAGAUCCAAUAAUCCUAAAUCCAUCGCAAAUUCUACAUACUUUUCUGAGAAAUUUAUAAAUUGCACUUUCUGUAACCAGUCGUGACAGUAUAUCAACUUCCUAGAAUUCCAGUCUCAGAUUGAUUGCACAAGUGCCGAAAAAUUGGAAGAAAACAGAAGUUAAAGGGAAAGUAAUAGCUCGAGAUAUUCAAAAAUGUUUCGCCGAAUCGAAUUUCUGGGGCAAAACUUAUCAAUGGUAAUAAAGGACUAGAAAAUACAACGCUACUCCUCUGCAAUAUAAAUACUUGUAUAUGUUCGUCCGCCACUGUUUAACGUACACUACCGCCCUCUGAAAUCGUAAUCUCGGAUUUUCGACGGUGUUAUUGAUAGAGACAAAAUACAUAAUCCACAUCCAUAGAUUAGGGGAUUAGACGGAUGCCAGUUGAUAGGAAAAUUUUGCUCCCGUGCCUACUCGGUAAACAGAAAGUCUCCGAAUACCUUCUAGCAAAAGGAAAGAAAACAUUGAAAUUAACUGAAAAAGUUUGCUUUCGGAAAAGGAAAUGGCAAAGUAGAGAUUAGAAAUAUAUAUAUGUUAUAAAUUCUUUAACCAUUUAUGAUCAACAAGUAAACAAGUAAAUAUUUUGUUCAAAGGGAAUUUCAUAGCAUUUUUUAAUAAUAUCAUUGAUUUGAACGUAGAUGUAACACAUCUUAUGGAAAUCAAUUUUGGCUUUUAGAAGACAUGGUUGCUUAAUUCCUAUUACAUGAAUUCUAUCAUAUUCAAUAUCUGAUAUUCAAAGGAGUUUCUCUUAGAAA